rnacentral:pre_miRNA from 1 species
CAUAAGAGGAGUGCUUGGCAUAGAUAAAGAUGAGAGAAAAAUAUGAGAGAAAGAUGAGAGAAAUUUGUUCCCUCUACACCCACCCACUCUCUCUUCUCUUUUCUUCUUUUUCUCUUAUCGUUAUCUGUGCUUAGCAUUUUUCUUCGAU